ACUACGCGUGAAGAAACUGUGAAGGAAAUACUUUAGCAUGCGGAUGGAGAAGACGACUGAUAUCAAGGUCCGGAUGACGACCUCUGAGCGAUUGGGUAUUGAUCUCUCUAAUGCUAAUAACAAGAAGUUCAUCAAAAGUGUGUUGGUGUCUUUUUUGCUGUCAACCAUCGAAGACGCUGGCGAUGCUAGGGAGACGGAUUCAAAUUCAAGAAGAAACGAAAUGCCACCAAAUCCAACUGGAGAAACAAAUUAAUGAGAACGGAGUUCGUGUUAUGUGUCAGAGCCCAACAGUUUCAAUGGGAAGGAUUACCUCUGCUGGGUGCCACGGAUGGAAUUUUUCUUAAAGCAAUUACAAAUUGCUUAUGUCCCCAGUCCCCACUGACUCUCGCCCUCGUGUUACUGCAAUUGCACACAUUGUGAAGAAAGUGCUAAAAGCAGGACCGCUGAACAGAAAUUGAUAAAAGAAAUGAAGAGAUGGAUGGUAAAACCAUAGUGUGCUAUAAUUCUGGGAUGAAGGUGCAGAUGCCGUAGUAGGAAAUUUGACAGGGAAGUCAAUGAGAGACAGAAUGGGAACAAUUCAACUACACCUGCUGCUGAAAAUAGGAUGUUAACAUGAUUAUGAAUAGCGUGGACUUGGCGAGUAGCUGAUUAACUCCAAGUUGAAGUUUUAACCAUUUUGGUGAAGCAGGCUGACUUUUGAAUUUUAGUGGGUACAAUCUGUUUUAUAAUGUUUCAACUCUGGGAGAACACAGAAUUUUUAUAGCUGAUAACAAAAUUUCUCUAGUUUUUUAAUUAUUUAUUUGUAACUUGGACAGCACAACUGCUCCCCAAGUCUACAAGGAAGACUUCAUAUGUUACCCAAAUAUCAGUUGGGUGCACCAGUCCAGUCAAAUGCCAAAUCAGAAGCAUCCUCAAUUGAGAAAUUUCGAAUGUUCUCAUUUGAUCUUAUUCA